ensembl:lncRNA
CCAUCUUCCGUCCUUGUCUAAAGGGGGGUUGAAGCGUCUCCCUUUGGCCAUUUCCUGCAGGAAGCUGAAGGUGGCUGAGGCUGGCUCCCUUACCUCUCCAUUGCCUCAUAAGCUCUACACAUCUGGGAAGCCACUCCUCCUCCUUGUUCCUGAUCUUUAAUUCUCAGCCUCUACCAGGAGGGACUCCAGGAGUGCCCACGGUUGUCAUGGAAUCAGAGCCCCCAUCACAGUGGGGAGCAGUGCAGGUCUUCUAGCCCCCUGAGUCAUAGAAUCAGAGCCCCCAUCACAAUGGGGAGGAGUGCGGAUCUUCUAGCCCUCUGAGGGUCCCUGCUACUGGUGCCUUGCACUGCUGCUCCCCAGUGUAUGAGGCAGACGGCCACCAGGUCCCAGCUGAGGAAGCCCCACAAACAGGUCACACAGGAGGGAAAGUUGUGGAAUUAUGCGUGCUAUGCAGGAAUGUUUUCACACAUGCGUCUGUCCAUGCCCACCUGUGAUGUCCCCACAAACACUCAGACCCUCAACACACAAGCAGGCUUCAGUUUGUCGUUCCACCAAAUGAAAGUUUCACCUCCACAUUCACGUCCACAAAUCCUGGACUUCACUGGCAUGUGGGGAAAGCCAAUCCAUCUGCGUGUAAAAUGUGGAGCAGCUGAGAAAUUCUCAGGCAUCUGAACUAUAAAACACAUUUUCAUUUCACCCUGCAAGAAAACAAUUCCUGGACCAAGAAAAGCAAGACUAAUUGAAAGACAAAAAGGAUCACUUGACAACUUGGAAGUUUAUUCACUUGAAAGGUAGAAACUCGCAGUAAUGUUUAUAAAAACCCUUGACUGUGCUGACAGGGACAACACCCCAAAUUCAAAUUACGUGAGACGUUGUCAUUGAAAUGACUGCAUUUUUGAUAACUUUGCUGAAACAUGAAUUGCUAUAAACUUUUCAAACCAUUUCUAGAGAAGUUUUUGGUUAAUUGAUAAUUUGGAGAAUUGGUCGCUCAAAGAAGGGCUGCAAUCUAGCAAAUCAUUCUGGAUACAGGGACGGACACAGUGAAUACGGUGCUGUCCUCAUGAAGGUAGCUAUCUUGUAGAGAGACAGACAGUACCACACAAAUAGUUGGUUAUAAUUGUGAGAGAUAUGGGGUGCCCCAAGAGCGUGUGAUAGAGGGACCUGAAUGAAUCUGAAAGGUGACCCAGGAGGGUGAUGAAGUAAUGAAGUGAAGAACGACAGUAAUGAGCCAAGGAAGAGGGGAGAGCAUUCUAGGCGGAGGUACAGGCUGGUUGGAGGCGCUGGUGUUGGGAGGAGCUUGGCUCACUCAAAAAGCUAAAAGGAGGCCAAGGUGACUUCUGUGCCUAGAGGACAGUACUGGUUGGAGGAGCGGAAGGCUAGCCUCAAGGCAGUCCGAGAGCGGUGGACAGGCACCUUGCCCUCUGUGACCUUGACCAGCUGGCCAAUGUCAGUAGGAGGCAACACCAACAAAAAAGCCAGGUGAGAGCUUUGGUUUUUUUUUUUUAAAGAAACGCCACUUAGAAAUAAGACUCACCCUAAAAUGGAGCAGUCGUGUCAAGUUUAUUCUUUCUCCAAAUUCUGAAAAAGGUGGGCGGAAAUAUUUAGUUUGAUGCCCAUUUCUCUGCUUGCGGGGAUUUUGUUCCUGUUUGCACGCCUGUGUUUCCUUGUUGGUUGAGGUUUACAUGAAGACUUGAUGCUGCUGUUUUUGCCCCCUGGAAAGAUAGCUGCUUUGUCGUCUCGAAGUUUGAAUGGGGUAGUCCUCCAAAAGCACAGAAUAAAAGACAGCGGUAAUUGCAAGUGUGAUUCCAAACGGAGAGCACUAAAAUGGAAAAUGCCAGCCUCCGGAAUUGUAAAGCAAAAUAAAUAUAUAUUUUUCAGCUGAGGAGAAAAUGAACAGGUCUUGGAAUGUGACAGAAAGUUCAUCUACCCCACACAGGGAGAGCAGCAGAGGAGGCAGUUUUCCUGAACAACGAAGAGCUGUGUAGGCCUUUUAAAAUCUCCUUUAUCCUCUUAUUUUGUGCCAUAAAACAUAAUGGAGAUUUCAUCAACUUGGCAGGAAAUUGUGAGCUAAUAAAAGAGCCUUGUUACAAAGAUAAUAAGAAGACAAAGUCAUAAAAGACAGACUUGGGCUGAGUUUUGGCUUUAGGCCCCACUUUCUCCAGCUCUCCAGAGAUCCAAGGUUCAUCAACUCAGUUAAUCGCGUGGAUGACCAUCAAUUUGUCCUUUCUUGCUCUUGAUCCUUCUUCAUAUUCCAGGGCAUUUCCACCCACAGGGGGUGCCUUAAAAGGCAAAUUGGAAAUAUACACAGCAUCAAGUCUUGCAAUAUUGCCUCCUGCCCAUGAGUCACCUGCUCAUUACCUCAGUAAACAUACCCUGAUGGAGGAACCAGACAGACGUGGCAUCGAGGAAAGUCUAGAUCCAUCCCUUCACUUGAGGGAGGACUGGCUCAUUCCUUGUGGCCUUCCGCUCCCCCCUCUGGCUUCCAACUUAUCUUGUCACCAAAAUAUCAGCUGUCUUUUUUCCCCUACUUCCCUCUAAUGUUCGAGUUGACCAUAAAGUAGGACGCCUCCCAACAGGGCCUCACUGCUCUCCAAGUGUGGUCCUUGGACCAGCAGCCUGAGCAUCACUUGGGAGUUUACUAGAAAUGCAGAGUCUCAGGACUGCCCAGACCUAUUGAAUCAGAGCCUGCCCUUCAACGGGACUCCCAGGUGGGUCACGUGCGCAUACAAGUUAGAGAAGUGCAGCCAUAGAGAAUCAGGAGGCACAAGAGAUCCACCUUGGCCAUGUCGGUGUUCAAUACUUCCUCAGUCCUUCUAUGAAAGGACAGUGGAUUCAGGGUCCCCGUGGGCACAUUUGACCCCGCACCUGCAGAUAAGCACUGCAGCCGAAUCCUUGGACAAUAGUCACUGUCCUCUAGACUUUUAAAAAUUUGGAAGCCAAAUUAGGAGGCUAAAAGAGUUUAUAUCAUAUUUAUCUAAAAGGUUUUUCCUCAGGCGCUCAAAAGCUUUCUGGACGAUACCAUACCAACCUUCAGUGUGCCUGAUAUGGAAGUGGGGAAGUGGAUAAUGUUUCCCUCUGGAAGACCUGAGACACAUGCUGUUUCUUUGCACAGUUACAUAAACAUUCAGCAGUGUGGUUGUCUUAAUGUUUAAUUUAGAUUGCUGCCCCAUUGAUUCAACUGUGGCUCAGGUAAAUGAGAGUAAACCAAAUUCAUGGUUCUGCCGUGCCACGGUCCAGUCGUUUGGACGGUGGGAGAACGGCCACAUCAGGGCUGUGCGCCUAAUUAAGCACUUCGUCAGUGACCCACUCCCUCUGGACUGAGCCAUUUGCUUUAUCCACCGCGGGAACAAGAUCCAGCUGGGCAGUGAAUGUAAAUUCCUGCAGGAAGAACUCAUUUUAGGUCAGGGUGGAUUGAUUGGAAUUAGUUUUUCCAGAAUCAGCACAGGAGAUGACAGAGAGAAAGCGCUUCCCUCCUCAGGCGAUUCCAAUAUUCCUUUACAAAGGUGAGGCGAGGACUGAGUCCAGCUCGCCAAGGGUACAGGAGUGUGGGCUGUUUAGAGUCAGCAUCCCAAUGCAAAGAUGUGUACCUCACUGUGGUGGGCUCAGAGAUUUGGGGACAGACUCUGUCAUAGGCAUGCACACAGCUCACUGCUGUAUGAUGCCUCCAGUUGUUCUGUGGUGAGCUUUCUAUUUUAUCUGAAGUCUUGGGACAGCUUAUUGACUGCAGUGUCUUACUGUAUGGCACAUAAUAGCAUUGUUAGGAGAAAUGUCAGCAAAGGCACUGAAGGGUGGAAAAACAUGAAAUCAAAUUUCUCUCAUGACAAUGGCUUGAAUAUUUGCUGGGCUUUUGCUUGCACUGAAUGGAGCUGAGGAUCCUUUUCAAGCUGAUUCGAUCGGACAGUGCACAGUGUUUGUCCAGCCAACCUGGCCAGCAGUUAACACAUUUUAACAAGUCAUCUACUCUGCCUCCUCCCAGAAAGACGUCUGGAACAGGCGGACACUUUCCCAGUCUCUUUGCAGAGAAAUCAUUUUUACAACAUCCUCAGCGUCUUAAGACUUCAUGUUGUAUUCUUUCAUCAGCCAUCUGCUAGGGUAGAUGCAUCCAUAAGACAUUUUCCUUCACUGGCAUAAUUAAAAGAGAUUCUCUCCUUUCGAACGUUGUGUUGCAUUUACAUUCAAAGAUAUUUUGCUCUCUCUUUGCCCUUGCCCUCAAGGAAUUGUGGGAAUCCAAGUUAAUAGGCUUUUAAUGGUUCUGUGAUAACUGUGAUUAUAAACUGUGGUUCAGAUUGGGGAGCAUCGAAGUUCAGCUGCAUCUUAUGCAGAGACACCACUGUUGCUUUUGAUCCUUGGUUGAAAUCUGGUUUUCAGCAUUCAGACACCGCCAUCCUUAGAAAAAAAAAAGGCACCUCGUUUGCUUCACAAUUGCUUUGAUAGCAAUUUUAAAGCCUUUACACAUUUUCCUUUUGAUAUAUUAGCAGUAUUUAGAAACACAUCCUGUUGCUAAAAAUUAAAUUUCAAAGUCUACAAUUGUAUUUCCUG